GUCCGGACCAGGAAAAACAUUGCACAAAUGGGCGGACGUUGUGUUCCACACUGUGCAAGAUUCUUUGGAGGGUUUCAGUGGAGGAGUGAUAUACUUUGGAGAAAAUACCAGUCUGGCAGCACAGGGAGAAUGGGCGGAGGGAGAGGGAGAAACCCAGACAAGAAGCUGCCGUGGUGAUCUGGGCACUGAUGAUGGCGGCUGGACCUGCCAUACAAUGGGACAUUCGAGAAACAUUUCGAGGUUGAGUGGAGAAGCAAAUGGACUCAAGAAUCCAAGAGUGGGGGCUCCAGCCUAGACAGCACUCCGUCCAUCUGGGAAAUGUGUGCCUCGGGGCAAAAGAUGAGGACAGUUAUUGCAAAGACAAGGGCCGACCCUCACGUUGCAGUGACGAUAGGCUCUGCCACUCUCCGGCUCUGGUCCAAACCAGAGCAAACGUGACAGAGAGGAGUCCACAGGGAACAAGAAGCCACGAGAUUCAGCGCUAUGGAAACCACUCUGGAUGUUUUCAAGAACUACCUCUGCACCUCUGAUGGAGAUGCCUACAGCCAGUAUCACACUUGGCCUUGGAUUAUAAUUCUUUGUACACAACCCACCCCACCCAAUGACGCUCCAAGGCAGGAUCUACUCCAUCUUUGAACUGGCUUCAAACCUGCCUUUAUAGCUAGGGGUUUCUCAGGGAACAUUUGUCAACGGAAAGCACAUUCUUCCAAAAUAUUUAAAUCCUUCUAAAUACUACUCAUAAUCUGAAUCAUAAAAUGUCAUUUGUAUUUCGAUUUGUAUCUUCCAAGGGAAUGAGGCUAUUGAGGACCAACUGAACUGUAGUUUCCUUUUGAUUUCGGCUCAGGUCAUGAUCUCACGGUUCAUGAGUUCAAGCCCCA
rnacentral:lncRNA from 1 species